CGCGACCUCAGCUCAGGCGGGGCCACCCGCUGAGUUUAAGCAUAUAUUUAAAGCCGGGAGGAAAA
rnacentral:rRNA from 1 species